rnacentral:tRNA from 1 species
GCGUUCGAAGCUCAUGAGGAUGAGCAGGCGAUUCUUAAUCGUCAGGCAGUUGGUUCGAUUCCAACCGGACGCACCA